AUUUCUCCAUCUUUCGUUUUAGGAACGUUGCCGCAGUCCAUGGAAGCGCUUUCAUCGCUGUUUCAACGCAUUUAUUAAAACAAAUCAAAGGAAGGCCUCAGGGGCUUCGUCGCUUAAGAGAGGCUGUGCGCUCUCCCUUAUGCCCUGCUGGCAACCAUAAGCGCUUACGCCGCGCAUAAGAACCAGCCCUCUUAAGAACAAGGCACAAAAGGGAAGAUGCGAGGCUGGUCGCUCUGACGUUCUUUUAUGCUUUCUACUUGCGGUUGCUUUCGCUAAUGCACUUGAAUAACUGACCUGCCAUAACGAUCGCGGCGCACAGUUUUUACAUUCCCUUUUGCAUAUUUAUUUAUUAUUAUUAUCUAUUUGCCUAACAUAAAAGCUGGAGAUAUGUACCCUUCCUUUCUUUCAAUUUGUAAGUUAAAUUUCAAUCUAAAGUGUAUUAUUAAGAGUUAAUCAUUUAUUAGUUUACUAGUGCGAUGCAUGUGCUAUUGCUCAAUAUGAAAUAUAGGAUUUAACAUGAA